UGAACCUGCGGAAGGAUCAUUACCGAGUGUAGGGUUCCUAGC
rnacentral:rRNA from 2 species